rnacentral:ncRNA from 1 species
CCUUGAAAAAAGCAUAUCUUAUAACUCAGUGAAUAGUUCGUUUUCAGACGGACACUGAGGCGCGCUGGUAAGUCAGUUGAUAUUAUACGAAGCAAGGAUACUUGCGGAUACGGCUGUGUCAUAAAAGGUGACGAUUAUGAUGGAGGUUAGUAGCCAAAACGAGAGGUGCGGCGCUCAGUAGUAUGUAGAUAAAGGUAGUAUAUGAGUCGGGGACGCAAUAGAGACACAAGGGGAUUUACGGAAAACCUGUGCCGAAUCAAGUUAGGUGUUGUGUGGGAAACAACGCAGACCUUGAACUUGAAUUGUCGGAGUGAGUCGCAGUUGCUGCGUCAGAAAACUCCCAGAGGUUAAUCUCUGCUGACAGUUCUUCCCAAUAAGUCCUUUCUGCUGUGACGGUUGAGAAAUCGACCUAUAAGACUUGUAAGAAAACUCCGAGUAGGCAAAACGGCGUAUUGAUUAAUGGCUUUUUAACUUUUUAGUGACACUUGUUAUAAAAAGUUCUGAAUUGAUGCUGAAAGGUAUGGGCAACCAAUCCCAUAAGAGCUAUGUAGAAGUAAUUCUUAGGGUAAGAAGUUAAUGAACGACGGUUUAUUGGCUCAGACUUAUCUUCUCUUUGACUGAAUAUAUUUGCGUACUAUGCAGGGUAGGACGAAGGUCCAUAAGAUAUGCUUUUUUCAA